rnacentral:rRNA from 1 species
GAUGAACGCUGGCGGCGUGCCUAAUACAUGCAAGUCGAGCGAACAGACGCGGAGCUUGCUCCUCUGACGUUAGGGGCGGACGUGUGAGUAACACGUGGAUAACCUACCUAUAAGACUGGGAUAACUUCGGGAAACCGGAGCUAAUACCGUAGAAUAUAUUGAACCGCGUGGUUCAAUAGUGAAAGACGGUUUUGCUGUCACUUAUAGAUGGAUCCGCGCCGCAUUAGAUGGUUGGUAAGGUAAUGGCCUACCAAGGCAACGAUGCGUAGCCGACGUGAGAGAGUGAUAGGCGACAUUAGAGCUUAACCAGGGUCAAGACUACUAAGGGAGGCAGCAGACGGGUAUGGUACGCAGUAGUCGAAAGCCUGACGGAGUAACGGCACGUGAGUGAUGGAGAUCCUGCGUGCGUAAUACCGUGUUACUAGGGAAGAACAACUGUGGAAUGAAAUAUGGAGGGAGUGACGGUACUGAAUAAGAAAGCACCGGCUAACUACGUG